UGAAGUUUCUCAAGAGGGUUAAAUGAUUAGCUGUGACGGAGAAAAAAGAUUCAGCUUUGUUGAAGCCAGAGUAAUUGGCGGGGUAAAAAUAGAGACGGAGGAAUUUGGCGCCAGGGGAAACACGGAAAGUGUAAGUGAAUCGAGAUUUCAUGAUACGAGCACCAGUCGUAUAAGGAACUCUAUUGACCGAAGGAUCUUGUUCAGAAGCUGUGGCAGUUGUGGAUAUGUUUGAAAAGUCGGAAGGUAAGAAAUUUGGGAAGUGAGUAUCAGUAUCCCAUCGACGGUCAGUUUCAUCGGUGGUGGCUGAUUGUGCGCCACAGUUAAGCAAGACAUAAACAGUGGCGUUAUACGGUAGCGGCGUGGUAGAAAUAGUGGCCGUUAUGAGUUGUAAGAAGAGAAAGAAAAGUAAAGUAAUGGUUGCCAUGGCGCUGUCUUGAAAAACUAUGUACGUGCUAUACUGAUAUUUGUUGUGCAGAUAUAUACAGUAGCUGUUCGAAGAUCAAGUCAUUUCUAAUUUUCUGUAUUAAAAACCGACAUAAUUUUGUUUUUGUACAAAAGUAACUUAUUAUAAGUGCACCAAAUAAAUGGAGUAAAACUCAGUGAGGCAAGAGUUGACUUCAUCGAAGAAUGUAAGUGAAAUUACUAUUAGGAUUAUUGCACUAAAGAAGGGGACCAUAUAUGUACCCAAGAAAAUACACAGAGAAAUAGAAAUGGCAGAGGAAAAGUUGUUAAUUGGGGGUGUAUAUCUUUUUCUUGUAGGCCAUGAAUGCUGCCUUUCAUUUUCAUAAUAAUCUGUUAUGUUCCACUGGAGCAAUAGUCGGUUUGCUUGAAAGGAAAGGUUUUGGGUUAUUUUCUUUGGAAUUUGGAUGAUUCUUUGUCCAAUUCUGCAAACUUCCUUAACUUCCGGCUGAUUCUGACAAAAAUGGAGCCUGAAAAGAUAAUAGAAACCAGAAUCUAGAGGGAAUAUCCAAUCCAGGCUCUGGCUGUUAUUGGCCAUGGUCCUAGAGGUUACGUAAAUCAUAUUGUUAAAUUAGUUCUUAGGCCUAACUCACACCCCAAAAGCUAACUCAAAAGGAGAAGGAUUGCCCAAGCCUUAUAAGGAGUCCACCCAUCUCAUUAACCACCGAUGUGGGACUUUUGUCAUUCUUUAACACAUAUACAACAACAAAUUCUGCAAACCAAUUCUGCAAACUUCCUUAAGGCGGGGUUUCAGUAGUGUAAGUGAUGUUGACAUCAAAUUUAGGAGUUUGAAAGCCAUAUACAACAACAAAUUCCUCAUAUACACGAUACAUCCCUGUAUCCUCCGUGCUAGCAAUUGAAUGUCCUCCGACGUUCAGCCUGUACAAAGUUUCAAGAGCAGUGUCGUUAUAGAUGGAAUAAGGAUCAUUCUGGCCCACCAAUUUGAUGCGAUUAUCUCCACCGAUGUAAAGAUUGGUGGGCAUGGAAACUAUCUCAAUCCCAUUAACAAAAGCAUAAGAGUUUGGCGAGGGAGAAAAGGUUAUAUUGAGUAUCUGAAAUUCAUUAACAUUAAUGACAAAUUCUUUUCGAACAGCUUUACUAGAAUUGGUACUUGCAGCGACUGUAUAGAAAGCGCUGAAGUUACUCAAGAGGGUAAAAUGAUUAGCAGUGACUGAAAAAAAAGAUUCUGAUUUAUCGAAGCCAGAGUAAUCGGCGGGGUAAAAAUAGAGACGGAGGAAUUUGGCUCCAGGGGAAACACGGAAAGUGUAGUGAAUUGAGAUAGCAUAAUACGGGUGCCAGUCAUAUAAGGAACUCUAUUGACCGAAGGGUCUUGUUCAAAAGCUGUGGCUGUUGUGGAUAUUCUUGAAAAGUUGGAAGGUUGGAAAUUUGGGUAGUGGGCAUCUGUAUACCAUUGACGGCCAUCGAAAUCUUCAACGGGGACUGCUAACUUUGGGUCUUUCAAUACUGCGACACAAUUCAGCAAAAGAUGGUCUGUGGCAUUGUAAUCGUACUGUGGCGUGAGAGUCAUAGUGACUGUCAUUAGAUGUAAUAGGAGAGAGGAAAUCAGAGCAAUGAAUAACAUGGCGUUGUUAUGAAAUUUCUCUGUUAUUUGGUGUACAGAUAUCUACUUCUUCAAUGAUCAAGUCAUUCUGUUAUUUCGAUUUUUCUGUAUUAAAAACUGACGGUCACCUAGACCAUUUUGUUCAAGUUUUGUACAAAAACAAAUACCAAAAUUAUAGUAACUGAUAUAAAAAUCUAUUUAUUAUUAUAUGUGUAACUAAAGUUAACAAAGAUACAAAGCAAAAUUGAUCAUCUUUUAAGUUUUUUUUUUUCCUUUAGCAUUUUAAGAGCAUAUUUGACAUAGUUGUUAGAUGCCAAAAAAACACUUAUUUUGAGAAAAAAAUAAUAUUUUUAUUGAAAAUUAAGUGUUUGGCAAACUUAUAAAUUGCUUUUAAAUGAAAGAAAAAACUGUUUUUCUGGUGGCCGGAAAGAAGCUUAAAAUUUCUGCAAGCAGAAAAGUUAUUUUUUUCAAGACUAAAAUAUAUCUUCCCUAUAUAUACAUAUUUACUAAUGUAGCAUAUCUCAUAGGUUUAUUAAGUUUAUGAUAAAUUUAUAUUUUAUUUUAUGUUUAAAUGGAGUAUUAUUUUAUAUAAUUAGAAAAAAAGGUAACAAUAAUAUCUUCGCAAGAUUAGAAAAGAAAAUAAAAAUUAAAGAUUCAAUCCUCCCAAAAAAGGUAUAAUAUUAAUUGAAAAUUUGAAUACGUACAUUUUAAUUAAAUUAAAAAAUUUAUAAUAGAGGUUUAUAAUAGUUCUUUCUAUAAAAUAAUCUUAAUAUUAGAAGUACAUUGACACUUGCUAUUUUUUGUAAUUUGACUCUCAAAAGCAUUUUUUUAGAAAAGAUUAAUCACUUACCGUUUGCUUAUGAAAAAAAAUAUUUUUUAAAUAAAUUAACCAAACACAAAUUAUUGUAUUUUUUAAAAGUACUUUUCUAAAAAUUAAUUUUAAAAAAGUACGUGUAGAAAUAAAUAGUACUCCUAGUUUUUAAACCCAUGGCAAACAUGCUCCAAGUAAAAAGUAGGUGGCCUAGUCAAAGAAUAACAAAGAAAUUAAAGGUGCAAAGAUUAGGAAUUAUUGCAGUCAAAAUAGGGACCAUAGGAAAAUAUAUAAAAAGAAAAAGGAAACAAUGAAAUAUGAAAGGUGACUUUGUGGGUGUUUGAAUUGACUUAUUUUUAGUGAUUUUUGGCUUUUAAACUAUUUUUUGGUUUUGAAAGUGUUUGGAGCACAAAAAGUAUUUUUAAGCACUUUUUAAAAACUGAAAAAGUACCCAAAAAAAUGCCAAAAGUCAAAAGUUGAGUGUUUCCAACUUAUGAUUUUUGACUUUUAACUUAUAAGUCACUUUUAAGAAGCCAAUACAAACACCCUACAAGACUUGGUAAUUGGGGUCUAUUUUUUUCCUGUAGCCCAUGCAAACGAUUUUUCUUACUAAUAAAGAUAUUGCCUUUCAUUUUCAUAUAUAUAGUCUUUAUUAUGUUCCAUCUCAAUAAUUAUAUUGUAUAUUCCACUAGAGAGUACCAUAUGAGUAUAGACAUACAUGAAAUAAAAGGUUUUGGGUUAUUUUCUUGGAAAUUUGGAUGAUUCUUUGUUAAAUUUUGACUUGACUUGUCAACACUAAGGGAAAAUGACAAGAAAAUAAAAAUUAAAGUAUCUACUUUUGCAUGCGAUAUUCUUAAUCUUAUUAUUUAUUUGCUUUGUUGAGAAAUCAUAAAACUUGUUAUCAUUCAGCAUGAAUAAUUGUUGUUAAACUCUAAAACAGAAAUAUAUAGAGACUCGGAAAGUGAUAAAAACAAACAAGAGACAACAGAAAUAUAAAAAGACUCAGAAAGUGAUAAAAACAAACAAGAGACGGUGGAAAUGGAAUGUAAUGAAAAAUAUUUUGUGAAUAGUCAUGACAAUAAACAUAAGUGAUAUAAAUUUUAAAAAAAGGAAGAAAAUAAAAGAAAAAUAUCAUUGAUUUAUAUACGAAAAACUACUAUUACUACUUAUAUAAUUGGAAGUGACUUCGAAAGAGCAAGUUCGAAUAAAAAUUGUCUAAAAUAUGUAUAUAAUGGUAUAAAUUUUGUACAAUAAAUUAGAAAUGAAACUUAAUCCAAAAUUUAAAAUGAUGGGUGUUUUUAUAAAAUAUAAAAGUUUUGGGGUGAAAUUCAAAUUUUUUUUAAAAAAUUAAAUACUAGAAUUUGGCCCAUAUUUUUUUUUUCUAGAACUUGGGGAACUUGGGAUGUUUUCCAAAUAUACUAUUAGCCAAAUACUCCCUCUGUCCCUAAUUACUUAUCCACUUUUAAAUUGACACACAAAUUAAGAAAACAAUUAUCGAUAUAGUGAAUUUACCAUUUUAUCACUAUCAAUUAUGAAGUAGAUGAAUUAAAAAUUUAAGAUUUUUAAGAAGUUCUACCUUUUUCAAAAAUAAUUAAUUGAGGGUAUAAUAGGUAAAAAAAAUUGUUUUUUCUUGAUUUAUUCAAAUGGACAAGUAAUUACUAAUUAGGGACAACUAACAAAGAAAAAAUGGACAAGUAAUUAGAAAAAGAGGGAGUAAUUACAAAUUAUAUAGCCAAACACUAAUUCCCAAAUUUUCUUCAAAUUUUUCAAGAGAAUAUUUAUAGCCAAACGGGCCCUAAAUUUCUUAUAAACAUUUAAAAAGUUCAUAAGUCCAUAUACUUUAAUUAAAAUAAAGAUUAUCUGAUCACGUAAGAAAAUCUACCGUUGGUUGAUACUAUAUUAGUUAAUUAAAUGGUUAACUGAUUUUGAUGGACUGAAAAAUCAAUGAUAUCCAAGGGUUGACCUAGUCAAAGAAUGGCAAGAGAAACUAAAGGUGCAAAGAUGAGUAGGGAUGUCAAUGAAACAGGGGUGGGUUUAAGGUUGUGUGGUGGAUGGGAUGCAAAGCGGGUUAAAUUGAGUUUCUAAAAAAUUAAUGCGGGGUAGGGCGGCUUAUGGGUAUAUGAGAUAUUAUGUGGGUUCAAAUUUAAUUUUAUUUUUUUACAUGUUAUAAGAGUAAUAGAACAUUAUUUAUUAAAAUAAUAUAUUUAAAGCUUCUAAUAUAUUUAAGAUAUUAAUGAAAAUGACUCAAUAAAAAAUAAUACAAAUUCUUACAUGUUUCUCAAUUGACCUCUAAAAAUAAAUUUUAAGUCACUAUCCUCUUAAAUUAAUACAAUUUAAUGAAAAAAUGAAUUUAGUUUUCUGAAUUUUAUUUUUAGUAUCAAACUUAACUACAAAAAGAAAAUAUUUUAAAAAUUAUGUGUGACGGGUUCAUGUUGGAUGGGUCUAUGCAGGCGGGAUGAGACAGAUUAAAAAUAAAAAAAAGUUAUUAUACGAGAUGAAGCGGAGUGUAUUAAAAUUUUUACUGAUUAAGCUCUAUCCGCUCCGCACCGCUCCACUCCCAAUCUAAAGAUUAGAAAUUAUUGCACUGAAAAUGGGGACCAUAUAUGUACGUAGGAAAAUACAAAAAGAAAAAGGAAAUAAUGAAGAAAACUAGUUAAUUGGUGUCUAUUUCCAUAGUCAUUGUUAUGUUCCACUCAAUAAUUAUAUUCCACUGGAACAGUAGGCCAUAUGAGUAUAGAGAUACGUGAAAUAGUUCUCUUUGGGUUAUUCUCUUUGGAAUUUGAAUGAUUCUUUGUUAAAUUUUGACAUGACUUUUCAACACUAACGAAAAAUGACAAGGAAAAAAUUAAAUAAGUAUCUACUUUUGCAUGUUUAUUAACCAAUGACGUGAGCUGUAUGCGUAUUCUCUUGUCAUUUGGUUAGGAAGAAGUUAUCUAAGAAUAAUUAGAGCUUGUUUGGAUUUAAAAAAGUAUUAGCUUUUAAAUCAAAAAAUUAAAUAUAGGGAGAGACCUACUUUUGGUUUAUAACUUUUUAAAGUCAUUUUAAACUUAUUUUAAGUUCUUUUUAAUUUUGUCAAAUACUUGCUAACUUAUCUCAAGUCAUUUUUAACUUAUUUAUGUUAUUUUAUAUUUGUCAAACAAUUUUAAAAGUAAAAAACUGACUUAAAAAUAAGUUUGACCAACUUUUAAGUCAAUUCAAACACCUUUUCAAUCUCAGCAUAAGUUAUCAUGUGAUAAAUUAUUCCACCAUAUAUGAGGGAUAACUUAUCCUAUUAUUAAGGUAUAAAUGGUAGGAUAAAUAAUCUCGGAUUUGGCUCCCCUCCAUUACCCUUUCCCUCCAUUUCGUCAAGUACACAUCUAGAUGAGAGACAUGUGCACUAUUUAAUUGUUAAAGGUCAAAAUUAUGUUGCAUCAACUAGUAUCAUAACCAUAGUUAAGGAAUAAGUUUUGAACCAAAUCCAAUAAUCUCAAAGCUACCUAAUACCUCCAGGCUCCAACCAAACUACUAGUUAAUAAUAAGCGGAGGAUAGCUACCUAAUUAAGAUGAGUAAGAUUAGUAAUUUACUCUAGAUGAAAAUAUUAUUUACUUUUAUCUAUAUUAUAUUAAAACAUGAAGGUCCUUAGCGAAAAAAUAGAAAGAUAGUAUGUUCUUUUAUGACAUUAACUUUUUAGUUUCUUCUUGACAAUUUUGGGAAGAAAUUAUGGAUCCCUCUAUAUUCAUAUUUGUAUUAUUUUGUACGAGUGAUGAUGACACAUAAAAAGAAUCCUAACUUUUUUAAAAAUUAUUAUUAUCAAGACGACUAGUCCAAGUCUCUGUGUUUUAGCUUUGUUAAGGGCAAGUGAAAUAUGAAAGAUCUUUUUCUUGAUGUGAUUAAUUUGUUUUCUUCAGCUUAAAAAUCUUCUCCGUAGGGCCAUAUCAAUGGAACUUCACUAGUCUAUCCAAGAAAAAAUGGUGAAAGUAUUUUAUACGUAACUUAUAUACUUCUGAAUAUUAUUCGCUACAAUCCAUCGAUAUAUAUAAUUCAUAAAUUCAGCAAAAACAUAUCAAUUGAGACAUUUGUGGAAAUUCCGUGACAAGUUCAUAAUUACUCAUAUGGAGGUUGUGUUAAUUACUGUAGUAGUGAUAUGCUUUUUCAACUACCACUGAGAAAUCAAUUAAGUAUUCAAGAGUUGACUUCGUCAAACAAUGACAGAGAAAUUAAAUGUGCAAAUAAUAGGAAUUUAUUGCUCUAAAAAUGGGAACCAUAUAUGUACCCAGGAGAAUACAAAAAGGAAAAAGAAAAACAAUAGAAAUUAAAAUAAAAAUAAUAAUUGUUAAUUGUGGUGUCUAUCUUUUCUUGUAGGCCAUACAAAAGACUUUUCUUAAUGCAAGUCUUUGUUAUGUUCCGCUCAAUAAUUCCUCUUGGCCAUAUAUAUAGACUAAAGACUUACGUGAAAUGAAAGGUAUUGAAUUAAGUAUUUUCUUUCGAAUUUUUGGAUGAUUCUUUGUUAAAUUUUUAACUGACUUUUCAACACUAAACGAAAAUGAAAAGGAAAAAAAAGUGUAUCUACUUUUGCAUGUUUAUUAACCAAUGAUAUAAGAGGUAUUUUCUCUUACGACAUCAACUUUUUUUUCCUUUUAAUAAUUCUUUGAAAAGGUUGUGGAUCCCUCCAUGUUCAUAUUUGAAUAUUAUUGUACAUGAGUGACGAUGACACAUCAAAUGAGAGUCGUGUAUUUCAGGUAAGCAAACAAAUAAUUACUUGCUGUAAAGUAAUUAAUAAUUCCAUCCCUAGCUUGGUUUGAUUUGUUUUAUUCAUCAAAACUGAGAGGGUAGAUGCAAAACAUACAUCCACUGCAUGGUCUGUUCAUCUCUAAAUCAGAGGUCUCAAGUUUAUGUUUGAGUAUGAAAUUUUUUUUGGUUGGAAGCGCUUCCUUUCGAAUGAGGUCAUACGCAACACAAAUCUAAAUUAGUUGGGCUUUAAUAUAAAUAUCAGAUAUCAAAUGGGAAAUAAAAAAGCAAAAGAUGCAAAACAAACAAAAAGAGGAAGCAAAGUUCACCCAACAAAAUAUAGUGAAACUAUUUUAUAGCUUAUAUACUUCUGAAUAAUGGCUUCAAUUCAUCUACAUAUAUAACAAGGACAUAAAUUCAACAAAGGAAAAAGAAAACAGAGAAGAACUAAUAUGUAAUUUAUCAUACUAGUUGUAACAAUCUCAUCGACCCGAUGGAUUCAAAAUCUCUGAGAAAAUAGUGUCACUCUUCAAUUUGUCAUCACUAUUACUGGUCAUGGAUGUAGCACUGCUUGUGUAUUUUCCUCCAACUUCAUGUGAACCUGAAAAUGCCUCGAAUCCUUCAUCUGUAGAUAUAUUGGUAUGACCAUGACCAUUCAUAAUCAAGGGGAAAGACGGGCUAGUCGGAUAACUGUUCAAUUCCAUUUUGUGACCUCUAUUAUCAGCUGCAUCUUGAAGCUUUAAUAUAAAUUCCAAAUUCCAGACAACGUCAUUCAUUGAUGGCCUUUGGACUCCUUGAUCCUUCAAGCAAUUAUAUGCUGCUUCUGCAAACUUGUUUAAGCACUCUGGCGCAAUUUGUCCUUCCAAAUUCGGAUCAAUUAUUUGUUGAAGAUUUCCUUUUUUACAGCUCCUACAAGCCCAAUCAGCCAAAUUCACUUGCCCUUUCGGCAUGUUAGGAAUUAAUGCUGGUCUAGCGCACAACACUUCAAAUAGCACCACCCCAAAAGAAUACACAUCAGAUUUUUCUGUCAAUUGUUGUCGCUUAUAGUAUUCAGGAUCUAGAUAUCCAAAGCUUCCUUUCACAACAGUGCUAACAUGGGUUUUUCCUGAUCCACUAAGUGGACCAAUUUUGGAUAACCCAAAAUCUGAAACCUUAGCAACCCAUUUAUCAUCCAAUAAAAUGUUGGUUGACUUCACAUCUCGAUGAAUAAUGAUAUCCUUUUUACCUGUGAAAUUAAAUUUAACGAUCAUAUCUACUAUAGAUAAUAAUAACUUAUUAUAUUAAAAUAAUUAAUCUUUAUCUUUUUUACCAGUAAAUCACUUAAUUUACUCAAUACAUACUUUAAUAUGGUACCAGAGUAAAUAGAAGUAUAGAAUUAAGUGACCGUAUACCUGUAUGGAGAUAAUGCAAUCCUUUUGCUGCGCCAAUGCAAAUCUCAAGGCGUUUCUUCCAUGGAAGUGGAGCAUUAUCAGUUUUGUACAAGUGAUCACGAAGAGUUCCAUGAGACAUGUAAUCAUAAACCAAGAUCAUCUCACUGUUAUCAUCACAAUAACCAAUUAAGGACACCAGAUGCACAUGCCUUAGCUUUGACAACAUGUGAAUCUCUGUUUCGAACUCGCGGACUCCUUGCUUUGAUGAAGGAUUCAAUCUCUUGACUGCAACUAUGGUUGCGCCGUUGUCUAUGUACCCUUUGUAUACAUUACCAAAACCUCCAUAGCCAAUCACAAAUUUUUCAUCAAAAUUGCAUGUUGCUGUUUUUAUCUCUUCUAGUAAAAAGUGUCGGCACAGAUCGGAUGGUAGCGCUGAUGAGCCUGAACCGCCGGUUCUUUGGGUUGAGUUCGAUGUAAUUGACAAAGGGAUCCAUGAUGACUUUGUAACGCUUGUAUGAAGUUCUUUUCCUCUUUUCCACCGCCGGAAAAUUAAGAAACAGAGAAUUGAAAGCAGAGCAAUUCCGCUAAUAACAGCCACUGCAGUGAUAACAGCAAUGAUGUGUGAUGAUGAUCUCUUAUUAUUGUUGUUUGGUGGUGAAUUAUUCGGAAAGAAAAAUUCAGGAUUCGGCACGGAGAGGUUUCCAUUUGAGUCGUUCAACUUGAAAAUUUCUAAGCCAUUUAAGAUAGCAUUUUGAUACGCAGAAUUUGGGUUAGGACUCAAAGCAAGGGUCACGUUUUGCUCACCAUCUUGGUUUCUAACAUUAACCACAUAGUCUUUGUACACAGGGAUUCUCCAGCCUUCACUCCAUUGUAUUACAUCAGCCUCUCGCUCUGCUGUUUGGUUUCCGAUAGAAAUGGAAAAACUUCUAUCGUUUAUUUCUUUAACUUCCGGCUGAAUCUCACAAAAAUGGAGCCUGAAAAGAUAAUAGAAGCCAGAGUUUAGAGGAAAUUCCCAAUCCAGUCCCGGGCUGUAAUUGGCCAUAGUCCUAGAGGUUGUGUAAACUAUGGUUGGCGCAGUAUAAGCCGGGGUUUUAGGAGUGUAAGUGAUGCUGGCAUCAUCAAAAUGAGGAGUUUGAUAGCCAUAUCCAACAACAAAUGCAUCAUCUGAAUCCCAUACACGAUACAUCCCUGUAUCCUCUGUGCUACCAACAAAAUAUCCUCCCACGUUCAGCCUGUACAAAGUUUCAAGAGCAGUGCUGUUAUUGAUGUUAUAUGGAUUAGUAUUCCCAGCCAAUUUUACGUCUCCAUGGAUGUAAAGAUCAGUUGGCAUAGAAAGUAUCUCAAUCCCAUUAACAAAAGCAUAAGAAUUUGGUGAAGGAGAAAAGGUUAAUUUGAGUAUCUGAGUUUCAUCAACAUUGAUGACAUAUUCUUUUUGAACUUGUUUUCUACUACUUGCGGAGACUGUGAGGAAAGCACUGAAGUUACUCAAAAGGGUUAAAUGAUUAGCUGUGACGGAGAAAAAAGAUUCAGCUUUGUCGAAGCCGGAAUAAUUGGCAGGGUAGAAAUAGAGACGGAGGAAUAUUGUGCCAGGGGUAACACGGAAAGUGUAGGUGAAUUGAGAUCUCAUAAUACGAGCACCAGUUGUAUAAGGAACUCUAUUGACCGAAGGAUCUUGUUCAGAAGCUGUGGCUGUUGUGGAUAUGCUUGUAAAGUUGGAAGGUAAGAAAUUUGGAAAGUGAGUAUCAGUAUCCCAUCGACGGUCAGUAUCAUCGGUGGUGGCUGAUUGUGCGCCACAGUUAAGCAAGACAAAGACAGUGGCGUUAUACGGUGGCGGCGUGGUAGAAAUAGUGGCCGUUAUGAGUUGUAA
rnacentral:lncRNA from 1 species